AUACUUACCUGGCAGGGAGAAUACCGUGAUGGUGAAGGUGGUUUUCCCAGGGCGAGGCUUACCCAUUGCUCUCUAAAUACGCUAUCCCCUGUGAUUCCCCCAAAUAUAAGAAACUUGACUGCAUAAUUUGUGCUCAUGGGGGACUGUGUUUGGACUCUCCCCUA